UUUUAGAUCGCUUGCAUUUAGUUCAUUGCUGUGUGUUUUGCAUUUCUAGUUGUUUUUUUAUUUUAGUUUUAGUCAUUUUGCCCUUUUAGUUUGUCUAUUCAUUUUUGUUUUGUCAUUUUAGGUUUUUAAUCACUUUUAAGUUUUAGAUUUUAGUUUUUAGUUUUUAGUUUUUAGUUUUUAGUUUUUAAGUUUAUAGAGUUUUUAGAAAGAAAAGAAAAAUCAUUUUAGUCAUUUUGUUUUUAUUCAAUGCUUUCUUGAAAGAAAAAUGAAAAUGCAAAAUCAUAAAAAGGAGAAAAGAAGAAAUUAAUGAAAAAGGGAAAAGAAAAAAGAAAAAGCGUGGAAAAAUGGUUUAAUGCAUACUGGCCUAUUUUUGAAAAAAAGUGAAAGGUUUGAAAUUUGAAGAAAAAGUUUUUAACGUAAUAGGCAUUAUUUACUUUUUGAUACAUUUUUCAAAGAAAAGAGAAAAAUAUAUAUUAUUAUUUCAGGUUACAAGCAUUUGUGUUUUUGAUUGCAUUUUAUUGUUAUUUAAGUAAAGAAAAAGUAAAAAAAAGAGAAAAAACAAAGAAGAGGAAAAAAGAAAAUGGAUGAAAAAUGGAAGUUGUAAUUUGCU
rnacentral:lncRNA from 1 species